GUAACGGUGUCUUUAGACACCACCUUUUCUCUUUGAAGGUUAUUC
rfam:Picea glauca, whole genome shotgun sequence.